AUUGCACUCCAGCCUGGGCCACUGAGAGAGAAUCUGUCUCAAAAAACAAACAAACCCGAUGCAUGAGUCCAGCUUUGCCACUCAGCUUCUUCAUGUUCAUUUCCUUCAUUCACUCAUUCAUUCAAUCAACAAAGCUUUAUCUGUGCCAGGUUCUGCCCUGAGGCUCUGCAGACCCAGCUGCAGAACAAGCCCACCCUCUGCCUUUACAGGGUCUACAGGAGUCAGUGCAUGCAGUGUGCUUAGCACAGGGCCUGCUGGAGGGAAGUUUACUACUAUUAUUAAUGACUGAUACCCGGGGCUAGUGAUCCGGCAUUUCCUGCCAAGAGCCCCAGCCCUCCUCAGCCUCACCAGGGACAUUGACAGGUCUGACCCCCUGCAGCCUACAGGCAAGAAUGCUUUUGUCUUUUCCUGUUACUUCCUAGUUCCGGAAAAGGGACUGGGGUUCAGGCGGUGGGGUGGGCUGGACUGAAGGAGCCCAGGACCAGAGUCUAUCCUGCAAGGGAACUGCUCCCAAGACUGAGCCACACCCACCCCCACUCCCGGAGGGGUCCCCAUCUUGCCUCUUAGAAGAUAGAGGGAGCAGAGUUGAGGCUAAGGGGUGCUGCCCCCUCAUACCAGAAAUCAGGACAGAACCAUGGCAGGGUGCCAAGUUGGGGCUCAGCCCCCACACUUCCUCCUGAGCAGGAGAGAGCGGGUCCUAGGCAAAGGCCGAGCCCCUGGUCUUGCUGAGCAGCCAUGGGUGUGAAUUAAAUGUCUGGUACGGCCCCAGCCGGCAAGCGGGCCCCACGCAGGCUUCCAUCCUCCCUUUAUCAUCUGCAGCAAAGCGUUUACAGUCAAUAAGCUGGCUAAUUAAUUCUCUUCAAAGACCUCUCAAUUAUUCAUCCUGGGCUACAGAGAGAACAAUUAGAGCAUCUCCUCGCUCGCUCUCGCUACAGAGUGAGGCUGGGCCUGGGCCACAGAGCCCCCUGGGCCCCUGCAGCCUCGGGUGUCCCCAGGGGCCCCUCCCCCCGGCAGAGGCAGCAGGACAGAACCUUCUAGGGGGGGAUCCUCUUCCCCAAGCUUGGAAGCAGCUCAGAUCAUUAUCCCCACUGCUCAGGGGGAGGACACGGAGACCCUGAGCAGGCAGCGACUUCUGGAGUUCAACAGCCCCCUAGGGCAGACCCGUGGAUGCAGAGCCGGGCUCCAGGUGCCGGCAGCAGGGCCACAGGGACCUGGGGCUCAGCCCCCUCUGCCUGCAGGAAAAAGGGCCACCCUGGGACAGAAAUUCAUCUUGCUUAUGGCACAGGGACAGAAGCAGACUGACGGAGGACAAGGUAACAGAAGGGCUAGGGUUUUUAGAAGACAAAGCUUCCUUCACAGAUGCAGAAGGAGAAUGCUGUUUCGCUGCGCUGGGCAACCUGGGUUUGAAUCCCACCUCUGGGAUACGUGACUGACUGCAGGGCGCACAGCAGGUGUUCGGUACACAGAGCCCUUACUGCAGAUACUGCUCAACAAGGCAGGAUCUGCCUGGCCCUGGCUUCAGGCCCUCGGCGGGGAUUGGGCAGCCGCUCUUGCCCAUGCCCUGGGGGCUCCGAGAUGCCAGUACUCCUCUGGGUAGUUGGGGAACCCACCCAGGGUGGAGGAAGUGGGCAAGCCCAGGGAUUCCACAUCUCCAGGGCAGCAGACCCCACAGUCUCCAGGGAUCUUGUCCAUGCCCAAACUCGCCUUCCCUGUCGUUCCCCACAAGAGCCCUGGCCCUGGUGGCUGCAGGAGUGGGAGGAGGGGAUGUGGGGGGUCUGGGGAAGGCUGCCCUCCGUGACGCUCUGCCAAGCCAGGAGGGGCGAAGGAGUCACGUGGUCCCCAUGCUGGACCCUGGAGUCCAGGGAGCAGCGCCUGCAGCCGGCUCAGCCUUGGGUCCCCUGCCCCUGUGGAGCUGGCCCUACCCCCAGAUGGCCACCGUGCCUGAGGCCCGGCAUCUGACCCUGUGUCCUCCCUGCCGAGGGGGCAGAACAGAGGCCCCGGGAACAGGCAAGGCGCAGUGCACGGAGCUGACCCCGUGCCUCGGUCCAGGCCUAGUAACAGGAAGUGAGAGGCCAAUGCCGGUAAACGAGAUCCGAAAGAUUAGAGGCCUCGCUGCCGCCCCAAGUUAGAGGACAAGUUCCCGGAAGGAGGAGGAAGCUGUCGCAGUAAAUAACGCCAGACCCCAGCACGCGCCCCAGCUGUCAGCAGCCCUUGUGGCCGCAGGCUGGUGGGCCCGGGAGGGAGCAGGUGGGGGCAGAAGGCCAAGGGGGUGCCCUGGUCUCAGCCCGAGCUGGGGACACCUGGAAGGCAGUAGAGCGGUUCCCGAGGGUUCCCCCAGCCUAAUCCCCAAGUCCCCAUUCCCCUGUCCACACACACCACAGCUU